GACGAACGCUGGCGGCGUGCUUAACACAUGCAAGUCGAACGCAGUGGCGAACGGGUGAGUAAUACGUGGGUAACCUGACCUCCCUUUUGGGAUAAGCCUUAGAAACGGGGUCUAAUACCGAAUAAAGUGGGGUGGGGCCGCGGCCUAUAAGCGUGUUGGUGGGGUGAUGGGCUAACAAGGAGGUGACGGGCAGCCGGCCUGGGAGGGUGACCGGCUAGAUUGGGACGGAUAUACGGCCCAGAGUCCUACGCGUUGGUGCAGGGGGGGAUGUUGCACAAUGGGCGACAGCCUGAUGCAGCUACGCCGCGUGGGGUAUGAAGGCUUUCGGGUUGUAAUCCUCUUUCGCUAUCUAACGGGUAGGUGGAGAAGAAGCGCCGGCUAACUACGUGCCAGCAGCCGCGGUAAUAC
rnacentral:rRNA from 1 species